GAUGAACGCUGGCGGCGUGCUUAACACAUGCAAGUCGAACGAUGAUGGGAGCUUGCUCCUGGAUUAGUGGCGAACGGGUGAGUAACACGUGAGUAACCUGCCCUUAACUCUGGGAUAAGCCUGGGAAACUGGGUCUAAUACCGGAUAUGACUCCUCAUCGCAUGGUGGGGGGUGGAAAGCUUUAUUGUGGUUUUGGAUGGACUCGCGGCCUAUCAGCUUGUUGGUGAGGUAAUGGCUUACCAAGGCGACGACGGGUAGCCGGCCUGAGAGGGUGACCGGCCACACUGGGACUGAGACACGGCCCAGACUCCUACGGGAGGCAGCAGUGGGGAAUAUUGCACAAUGGGCGCAAGCCUGAUGCAGCGACGCCGCGUGAGGGAUGACGGCCUUCGGGUUGUAAACCUCUUUCAGUAGGGAAGAAGCGAAAGUGACGGUACCUGCAGAAGAAGCGCCGGCUAACUACGUGCCAGCAGCCGCGGUAAUACGUAGGGCGCAAGCGUUAUCCGGAAUUAUUGGGCGUAAAGAGCUCGUAGGCGGUUUGUCGCGUCUGCCGUGAAAGUCCGGGGCUCAACUCCGGAUCUGCGGUGGGUACGGGCAGACUAGAGUGAUGUAGGGGAGACUGGAAUUCCUGGUGUAGCGGUGAAAUGCGCAGAUAUCAGGAGGACACCGAUGGCGAAGGCAGG
rnacentral:rRNA from 1 species